rnacentral:miRNA from 1 species
AAUGAAACUUGGCAUAGAUGCUGC